CCUACGGGUGGCAGCAGUGGGGAAUAUUGGGCAAUGGGCGCAAGCCUGACCCAGCAACGCCGCGUGAAGGAAGAAGGCUUUCGGGUUGUAAACUUCUUUUCUGAGGGACGAAGAAAGUGACGGUACCUCAGGAAUAAGCCACGGCUAACUACGUGCCAGCAGCCGCGGUAAUACGUAGGUGGCAAGCGUUAUCCGGAUUUAUUGGGUGUAAAGGGCGUGUAGGCGGGAAAGCAAGUCAGAUGUGAAAACUCAGGGCUCAACCCUGAGCCUGCAUUUGAAACUGUUUUUCUUGAGUGCUGGAGAGGCAAUCGGAAUUCCGUGUGUAGCGGUGAAAUGCGUAGAUAUUAGGAGGAACACCAGUGGCGAAGGCGGCUUACUGGACUGUAACUGACGUUGAGGCUCGAAAGCGUGGGGAGCAAACAGGAUUAGAUACCCGAGUAGUC
rnacentral:rRNA from 1 species